rnacentral:rRNA from 1 species
GAUGAACGCUGGCGGCGUGCCUAAUACAUACAAGUCGAGCGAACAGACGAGGAGCUUGCUCCUCUGACGUUAGCGGCGGACGGGUGAGUAACACGUGGAUAACCUACCUAUAAGACUGGGAUAACUUCGGGAAACCGGAGCUAAUACCGGAUAACAUGUUGAACCGCAUGGUUCAACAGUGAAAGACGGUCUUGCUGUCACUUAUAGAUGGAUCCGCGCCGCAUUAGCUAGUUGGUAAGGUAACGGCUUACCAAGGCAACGAUGCGUAGCCGACCUGAGAGGGUGAUCGGCCACACUGGAACUGAGACACGGUCCAGACUCCUACGGGAGGCAGCAGUAGGGAAUCUUCCGCAAUGGGCGAAAGCCUGACGGAGCAACGCCGCGUGAGUGAAGAAGGUCUUCGGAUCGUAAAACUCUGUUAUUAGGGAAGAACAAAUGUGUAAGUAACUAUGCACGUCUUGACGGUACCUAAUCAGAAAGCCACGGCUAACUACGUG